GAUGAACGCUGGCGGCGUGCCUAAUACAUGCAAGUCGAGCGAACGGACGAGAAGCUUGCUUCUCUGAUGUUAGCGGCGGACGGGGGAGUAACACGUGGAUAACCUACCUAUAAGACUGGGAUAACUUCGUGAAACCUGAGCUAAUACCGGAUGAUAUUUUGAACCGCAUGGUUCAAAAGUGAAAGACGGUCUUGCUGUCACUUAUAGAUGGAUCCGCGCUGCAUUAGCUAGUUGGUAAGGUAACGGCUUACCAAGGCAACGAUGCAUAGCCGACCUGAGAGGGUGAGCGGCCACACUGGAACUGAGACACGGUCCAGACUCCUACGGGAGGAAGCAGUAGGGAAUCUUCCGCGAUGGGCGAAAGCCUGACGGAGCAAAGCCGCGUGAGUGAUGAAGGUCUUCGGAUCGUAAAACUCUGUUAUUAGGGAAGAACAUAUGUGUAAGUAACUGUGAACAUCUUGACGGUACCUAAUCAGAAAGCCACGGCUAACUACGUG
rnacentral:rRNA from 1 species